rnacentral:lncRNA from 1 species
CGUACUUUCAAGUGACAAAUUAUAUGUGGAAAGUACAGGUAUGAAUUUUAUAUACAUCACAAUUUUAGAAUUGUUUCCAGUUUUCUCAUUUCUUUAUGCGUGAAGUAAGUGUGCACAAACAUCUUUUUUUAUUUGUAUAUGCAACUUUAACUUAUAAUUUAGGUUUUUCAGUACAAAAGUUCUUUUUAAGUGGAUGCUUUCUAAUUAAUUUAUCCAUAAUCAGUUCAUGCAACUCUUGGUUUAUGGGACGAUGUGAUAAAUAUUUCCAAGUAUAGAUGAAGAGCCUCUUCUACUUUAAACCCUAUUCAGGAAAUUAUUUAGCUUAUUUUUCAAAUAGUUAGCUUCUGCAGAUUGGGUUUGUAGGGUGGUCCUAAUUUCUGCAGUGUGUUUCUGAAAUGCAUACUGAUUUUCAUUGUUUAUUUUAUAAGUAAACUGUGGUCCAAAAUAUAAGUUUCCCUCCUAUUUUUCUUGUAUAAAAGAAUUGUCAUAGAAAGUGACAUUUAAAGUUUGUGUGUGAAAAUUAAGCAAGCUAAUCUUUACGUUGCGUAGGGCUGCAGACGAGCGAAGAUAAUGCAUGCUUGGCUUGUACAGAAUUCUUUCAAGAUCAGCUUGAGAAAUGUAUCGAGAAAGUUAAUGAUUAUAAAUCCCAAUGGUUUGAGUUUGAUCUUGAAUUGAUGAGUUUCAGUUCGAAUGAUAAGUUAUCGCCGCAAGGGAUACUGGCUAUAGCAUUAUGAAAUGUUUGGUAUGUGAUCUCUCUUCUACCUUUCAUCGCUCCCAUAUCGUCAUAUGGAAACACGGGGCGUAAAAAAUUGAAUUCUAUCACCGCGUUACGACCUCUUAUUACCUAUCUAACUUAAUGUUUUAUUGAAUUAGAAUUUGGUGGUCCCAUUCCCAUAGUUUGAUAAGUAAAGGAAUGGUUAGUGUUGUGGAAACUCAAGUUUAACUCAGUAUUUGUCGGUAUCAUGUAUUGCUACUCAAUAAAAUUGACUGCAAACCAACAUAAAUUGAUGUCUACAGCUAUAGAUUGUGAAAUUGCUUUAGCAGGGUUUCAGGGAAGUGAAGUUUUCAUUAUAAAAAUUUUAUGGACCAUUUUCUUUUCAAUAAAAAAUAAAUUAUUGUGUUUAAUAUCACGGGCACGAGGUGCAAGGCUCGGACUGCCAACAUUGAACUGGGCCGUCAAAUAAGCCCAUUCAAUUUGCUGUAUCUCCUUUGUGCGGCCAGAGUUUAUGGACUAACAAAUUGUGGGAGAAUAGAAUGCAAGAAUUAUAAAGGUUGAAUCUCAACCUUGAAGGCUCCUAUCGUCCCGUCCUUAGAGUUUUGUGAGAGAGGUAAAUAGCGGGAUGUGCCUCAACAGACCAGGGAACAAGAGUUGCGUGUACACUGCGCCUACAAAAAGUCAAAUUUCAUGUCUCAGGAAUCGAAUCCUCACACUGCGGCUGUCAGCAAGACGUGAGAUAACAUCACUCCCGUCCUUUGUACCACUAGGCCAUGCCUCGAGGGGCGAAUGCAAUAAUUAUAGAUUGAAUUAAUUAUGGAGUUACAAUUACAUUUAUUUUUUAUUUUAUUUUUUAACCUUUACAUUGUUAUUCUUAGCAUUAUAUUUAUUUGUUCAUCCUUUCUUUGAU